CAAAUAUACACAAAUAAACACAGCUUCCUAAACAUUGUAUCCUUUUCUUAAAUCUAUUUUUUUUCUUUUUCUUUUUCUUUUUUCUCUUUUGGAUUUUCCAGACAGGGUUUCUCUGUAUAGUCCUGGCUGUUAGAACUCACUUUGUAGACCAGGCUGACCUCGAACUCAGAAAUCCACCUGCCUCUGCCUCCCGAUUGCUAGGAUUAAAGGUGUGCACCACCACGCCUGGCUUAUUUUAUUUUUAAUUAAAAUAUGAUUAUGUCAUUUCCCUCUCUUUCAUCCCUCCAAUCCCUCCCAUGCCUCCUCAAGUUAAUGGCUUCUUUAAAAAAAAUAUUAUUGCAUAGAUAAUAGAUAGAUAGAUAGAUAGAUAGAUAGAUAGAUGGAUUGAUUGAUAGUCUAACUGAAAAAGCUCAAAAGACUGCAGUGACACACUCCUUUAAUCCUACCUAGCACUUGGGAGCCAGAGGAAGGUAGAUCUUUAAGAGUUCCAGACCAGUCAAGUCUAUAGAGUGAGACCUUUUCUUCGAAGGCAAGGGAGCCAGAAUGCGGAGCCGCUGUCCUGUGGUUAGGGGUACUUACUGCUUACAAAGGACCUGGAUUUGGCUCCCAGCAACCACAAGGGAGCUCACAACCUGUAAUUCCAGAUCCAAAGGAUCUGACACCCUCUUCUGACCUCUGAGGACACUAGGAACAUACACAGUGCCCUUACAUAUGCAAACAAAGCACACCCAUAAAAUAAAAUAAUAAUUUUUUGCUGAUUUGAGACAGGAUCUAGCAGGAUCUAACUAGUCUGGAACUCACAGAGAUCCAUAUGCCUCCCUAGUGCUGGAAUUAAAAGUAAGUAUGUGUAACCACGCCCAGCCACUAAAUCUAUUUUUUUGAAGAUCCUUAGAUAAAUAUGAAAUAUUGGAUAUCCCAUCUUCUUUUAACUUCUAUUUUUGUCUUUUGUUUGUUUGUUUGUUUGUUUUGCUUUAAAAAAAUUCCGUAUGCAUUGAAGGAAUCCCUCCCAAUUUGAUUGAUGGAUCUCUCUUGGCCAGGUCAAUGGGACUCUUCAAGAUACAGUACUC
rnacentral:lncRNA from 1 species